rnacentral:rRNA from 1 species
CUACGGGAUGCACCAGUGGGGAAUAUUGCACAAUGGAGGAAACUCUGAUGCAGCAACGCCGCGUGGGGGAUGACACUUUUCGGAGCGUAAACCCCUUUUAUAUAGGAAGAAGAUGACGGUACUAUAUGAAUAAGCGCCGGCUAACUCCGUGCCAGCAGCCGCGGUAAUACGGAGGGCGCAAGCGUUACUCGGAAUCACUGGGCGUAAAGAGCGUGUAGGCGGAUUAAAAAGUCAGAAGUGAAAUCCUAUAGCUUAACUAUAGAACUGCUUCUGAAACUCUUAAUCUAGAAUAUGGGAGAGGUAGAUGGAAUUUCUGGUGUAGGGGUAAAAUCCGUAGAGAUCAGAAGGAAUACCGAUUGCGAAGGCGAUCUACUAGAACAUUAUUGACGCUGAGACGCGAAAGCGUGGGGAGCAAACAGGAUUAGAUACCCGGGUAGUC